rnacentral:rRNA from 1 species
UAACACGUAGGAGGCGAGCGUUAUCCGGAUUCACUGGGCGUAAAGCGCGUGCAGGCGGUUCGGUAAGUUGGGCGUGAAAUCUCCCGGCUCAACUGGGAGAGGUCGUCCAAUACUACCGAACUUGAGAGCGAUAGAGGAAAAUGGAAUUCCCGGUGUAGUGGUGAAAUGCGUAGAUAUCGGGAGGAACACCAGUGGCGAAAGCGAUUUUCUGGAUCGUUUCUGACGCUCAGACGCGAAAGCUAGGGUAGCAAACGGGAUUAGAGACCCCGGUAGUCCUAGCUGUAAACGAUGUGAACUUGGCGUUGGUGGCUUAAACUCCAUCAGUGCCGAAGCUAACGCGAUAAGUUCACCGCCUGGGGACUACGGCCGCAAGGUUAAAACUCAAAGGAAUUGACGG